UGGGGAAUAUUGCGCAAUGGGCGAAAGCCUGACGCAGCAAUGCCGCGUGAGGGAUGAAGGCCUUCGGGUCGUAAACCUCUGUCAGAAGGGAAGAACCGCCGGGGUGCUAAUCAGCCCCGGUCUGACGGUACCUUCAAAGGAAGCACCGGCUAACUCCGUGCCAGCAGCCGCGGUAAUACGGAGGGUGCAAGCGUUAAUCGGAAUCACUGGGCGUAAAGCGCACGUAGGCCGUUUGGUAAGUCAGAGGUGAAAGCCCGUAGCUCAACUACGGAAUUGCCUUUGAUACUGCUGGACUUGAGUUCGGGAGAGGGUAGUGGAAUUCCAGGUGUAGGAGUGAAAUCCGUAGAUAUCUGGAGGAACAUCAGUGGCGAAGGCGACUACCUGGACCGAUACUGACGCU
rnacentral:rRNA from 1 species